UCAACACAGAACAUUGACCUGAAGGUAGAGGUUGAAACACUGAAAGAGGAAAUGAAGGAGCUGCAGAGGGUCUCUGCCCUUGCACUGUAAGUUUAGCCGAGAACCUUUCAUUUUGACUGACUAGAAAUCAUAUUUGUUGGUAUUGUAUCUAAUCUAUCUGUGUUUUGUAUGAUCUAGUCAAGAUUACCCAGAGCAGAUGGAGCAGCUCAGAGAGUACUGCAACACCAAGAUCCAGCAGCUAGGGAAGGUAUCUGAACAACACAUUUAGGCCGAAGAUGUAUUCCAUAACCAAGUGUUCUCCAAUGUCUUCCAAGAUUUGCUGAAUAUCAUUCCCAUUUAUUUCCAGGAUCUGGAUUCAUCCAGAGUGGAGGUGGGGAAGCUGACAACCAUGUUGGAGCAGGAGAGGACGCAUUGCCUGGAGCUGGAGAAGGAGCUUCAGGGGGAGGGUCACUCCCAAUCUGACGUACCCACACAGACUGACCAUUCCAAGUUGGACACCCCCACCUAGCCUGAACACUCCCAGUCUGAUGCACCCACACAGACUGACCACCUAUCCAAGGAACAGGAACCAGACCAGAACCUGGAGAAGUUCCAGGACCUACUCAGUCUGCUGGAAGAGAGAGACUGGCUGAUAGAGCAGCUGCAGGUGUCUGUGAAGUCCCAGGAGGCUCUAAUAGACCAGCUGAGAUACAGUGGUGCUGGCCAGGGUAGCGGAGACCAGCUAUCAGCUGACCCAGACCGCCAGCUGUCAUCUCUCAUUGCUCAGAGAGAGAUGGACCUGCAGGUCUGUGUGUGUGUGUGUGUGUGUGUGUGUGUGUGUGUGUGUGUGUGUGUGUGUGUGUGUGUCAGUAACCUUUAAAACCUUUAUUUCUCAGGCUCUGGAAAAGGAUCAUGGCAGAGAGAAGAGGAAAUAUGACAGACACCUGAAGGUGGAAUGAGACACAAGAUCCUAAAUUCAUGAUCAAAUCAAGCAUCAAAUUACAUAUUGGCCCAAUCAAAAACAAAAGUUAUCAUAUACAUACACUACAUA
rnacentral:lncRNA from 13 species